rfam:Parcubacteria bacterium GW2011_GWC2_42_6 TV36_C0016, whole genome shotgun sequence.
CUAGUCAAGUAGAAGGGCGUAUGGUGGAUGCCUAGGGAUGUUGAGGCGAUGAAGGACGUGGCGUGACUGCGAUAAGCCUCGGGGAGCUGUCUAGCGAGCUUUGAUCCGGGGAUGUCCGAAUGGGGAAACCUUAUUGCGCAAAACGCAAUAGCCCGCUCAAGAGAUUGAGUGGGAGUCAACCCGCUGAAGUAAAACAUUCUAGUAAGCGGAGGAAAAGAAAAUAAUGCAAAGCAUUUUUUUCUGAGAUAUCGAUUUUUCGAUGUUUCGGAAAAUCUGCUUUGUUCAUUCCCGUAGUAGCGGCGAGCGAACCGGGAGAAGCCUAAACCAUUGCGACCGCAAGGUUGCCGUGGUGUUGCAAGGUAAUGGCGUUUGAUUUAUCAAAGAAAGUUAAAACAAGAGAAUUGUUAGCAGAAGCCAUUUGGAAAAAUGGCGCCAAAGAGGGUAAUAGUCCCGUAAGCGAAAACGAUUUUCAACUUUUUGUCAUUAUCCUUAAGUACGGCGAGAAAUGAUAGCCUCGUCGGAAUCCGGCGGCACUAAUCCGCCAAGGCUAAAUACUCAACAUCACCGAUAGUGAACCAGUACCGUGAGGGAAAGGUGAAAAGCAGCCCGAUGAGGGCGGUGAAAUAGUACCUGAAACCAUAUGCUUACAAAGAAUCAGAGCCGAGCGCAUAAUUUAUUAUGCGCAUCGGUAAUGGUGUGCUUUUUGCAGAACGAUCCAACGACUUAUUCUGUGUUGCUACAAUCUAAAUCCGACAGGAUGGAGAUAUAGGGAAACCGAGUCUGAAUAGGGCGACCAUUAGAUUUUUAUUUAUUGGGUACCGAUUUUUGGGAAUUAAAUAAUUUUGUAAAAGGAGGAGGAAAUGGCAAUAAAACAAAUCAAUGCUAAGGUAUUUAAAAUACCGUGGUAUUUUUGCGGACGUUUCGUGAUUUGGAUAUAUGCCUUGGGCGAUUCAUAUCCUUUUGUUCUUCGCCGAUCCAGUUUCUUGAUUUUCUACAAUAGAGAAGAAGAGGAUGAAUCAAAGAAGUUCAGGCGAAUAUUAUGGAGAGGGCAUGAUUAUGUCCGUGUAAAAGAUGGAGUCCGGUACGAGGGUAGAUUUAAUACUGUUACUCAUGAGGUACAAGUUCGGCCGGAAUAUUCAAUUGAGCCCUGGCAAGAUAUUGGGGAAUUCAGUUGCGAUGUUUAUUGGCCUACGAGCCCUAUUGAGGCGAUGAUUAAUUGGGCUGUACCUGAUGAUGUCGAAUUUUGUAAAAAAUGGGACGAGGGCGAUAUCUCGGUUGCAUCCAUUACACCUUUUCUUUAAUUGAUUUCUAAUAUAUUAAAAUAUUACACGGCCAUCAAGUUUGAUGGCCCCCAAAAAUCGGUAUCUAGUAGAUAGAAUCUAAAAUGUAGCGCGGGAUAGACCCGAAGCCAGAGCGAGCUUGCCAUGAUCAGGGUGAACCUUGGGUAAAACCAAGGGGAGGCCCGAACCCACGCGCCGUGCAACACGCGGGGAUGAAUUGUGGUAAGAAGUGAAAAGCUAAUCGAGCCUGGUAAUAGCUGGUUCUCUCCGAAAUAGCUUUAGGGUUAGCCUGGUAUGUUCCGAGCGGGGGUAGAGCACUGAAUGGGCGCGGAUGACUUUGUCUACCGCCUCCAAUCAAACUCCGAAUACCGCGAAGUAAAAAUACCAGAGUCAGACUGCGGGGGCUAAGCUCCGUGGUCAAAAGGGAAACAGCCCAGACCAUCAUCUAAGGUCCCUAAACUAAGUUAAGUGGCAAAGGAGGUGGAAUUUCUUAUACACCUAGGAGGUUGGCUUAGAAGCAGCCAUCCUUUAAAGAGUGCGUAACAGCUCACUAGUCUAGAGAUUCCGUGCCUAAAAUUCAACGGGGCUCAAACUUAGUACCGAAGAUAUGGAUUGCCGCGCAUUUAUGCGCGGCAGUGGUAGGAGAGCAUCUCUAACAGCUGAGAAGCCUAAGGCGUGAGCCAGGGUGGAGCGUUAGGGAGAGAGAAUGUUGGAAUGAGUAACCGCAAUGCCGGUGAAAUGCCGGCACACCGCAAGCCCAAGGUUUCCUUGGCAAUGAUUAUCAUCCAAGGGUUAGUCGGUCCUAAGGUUAAGCCGAGAGGCGACACCGAUGGACAGCAGGUUAAUAUUCCUGCACCGUUUUUAUCAUCUAUGAGGGGACGCAGAGUUGUAGAUGGAGUGUAUUAUUGGAUUUACAUUGAUAGAUUGAGGGCGUCGCGCAGGCAAAUCCGCGCGGCAUCAACCCGAGAUUCGUCAAGAGACCCCGUUUUACGGGAUCAAUUUCGUUGAGCACUCUGCCAAGAAAAUCUUCUAAGAUUAUGAUAUUAACGACCGUACCGAAAACCAACACAGGUGGGCGAGGCGAGUAGCCUCAGGUGAACGGGUGAUUCUUCGUUAAGGAACUCGGCAAUACAGCGUCCGUAACUUAGGAAUAUGGACUGCCCCGCGCAAGCGGGGCCGCAGCUAAAGACUCCAAGCGACUGUUUACCAAAAACACAGCUCCCUGCUAACUCGCAAGAGGAUGUAUAGGGGGUGACUCCUGACCAGUGCUGGAACGUUAAACAUGGGGGUCCAGGCGCACUUCACUGCGUUCAGCGCAGAUUCGCAGCUUUUCUUUUUUAAUCUCAAAGAUUAAAUAAUAGACUCUUUUUUUAAAGCCAAUAUUAGGCCCUAAAAGAGCGAAGCCGCGAGUUUAGCCUGAAUGUGGUGAUGUGCGUCUUGGCUCACCGUGCUAAGCGCCAGUGAACGUCCGCGGUAACUAUAACCGUGUUAAAGUAGCGAAAUACCUUGUCGGGUAAGUUCCGACGCGCAUGAAAGGAGUAACGACUCGGAGACUGUCUCAACGAAGAGCCCGGUGAAAAUGCAAUUCCGGUAAAGAUGCCGGGUACCUGCAGCUAGACGAAAAGACCCCGGAAGCUUUACUGCAGCUUGGUAUUGUGCCUGGCAUUUGAAUGCGUAGCGUAGCGGGUAGGCUUUGAAGCCCUAAUUUCGGUUAGGGUGGAGCCGCCAAUGAAACACCCGUCUUUUAAAUGCUUUGUACUAACCAUGUGUCUCGCUAAUGCUCGACACAUAAUUCUGAUCAGCAAAGUUUUCCAAAUAUAGAUAAACAAUUUUUAUCUAUAGUGUUUGUGUUAUAUUCUGAUGAUUUUGAAUUAAUCGUGAUGAGUAAUAGCGAGCCACAUGAGACAGUGCCUGGUGGGCAGUUUAAGUGGGGCGCUUGCCUCCAAAAAAGUAACGGAGGCGUUUAUCAAGGUUGGCUAGCUCCGGAUGGAAAUCGGAGCGAUAGCGUAAAGGCAAAAGCCAGCUUUACUGCAAGACGGACAUGUCGCGCAGUUGCGAAAGCAGAACUUAGUGAACCGACCAUACUUCAUAGGAAGGUGGAAGAUCAUCGGCCAAAAGCUACUCCGGGGAUAACAGGCUGGUACCGCCCGAGCGUCCAUAGCGACGGCGGUGUUCGGCACCUCGAUGUCGGCUCAUCUCAUCCUGGGGGUGGAGAAGCUCCCAAGGGUUUGGCUGUUCGCCAAUUAAAGAGGUACGUGAGCUGGGUUCAAACCGUCGUGAGACAGGUUGGUCUCUAUCUGCUGCAGGCGAGGAUACUUGAGGGGAGUCUUCCUUAGUACGAGAGGACCGGGAAGAACAGACCUCUGGUGUACCAGCUGUUCCGCCAGGAGCACUGCUGGGUAGCUAUGUCUGGACCGGAUAAGCGCUGAAAGCAUCUAAGCGCGAAGCCGACCCCAAGAUUAGGUAUCAUAGAUUCGUGGAAGAUGACCACGUUGAUAGGCGCUAGGUGUAAGUCCGGCAACGGAUUAAGCCGAGGCGUACUAAUUAAUCGACUUGACUAGUU